rnacentral:misc_RNA from 1 species
CUUCUUUCUUUCAUCUCCAGCGAUAUUCAUUUCCAUUGCAACUUGCAGAACGCAUAAACAGUGCGAGUGCCUCGGCGAAUUCAUCGGGCGGCACCGAAUGGGCGGAGGAGAACCACUGGUUAGCUCCAAGGCGGAGCUGAAACACAAGCAAAAGCUCAAAAAGAAAGCGAAAUCGGGUGGCUUUGAGUCCCUAAACCUCAGCCCCAAUGUCUACCGAGGAAUCAAGAGGAAGGGUUACCGUGUCCCGACACCCAUUCAACGCAAGACUAUGCCUCUCAUCCUCGCUGGUUCCGACGUUGUCGCCAUGGCUCGCACUGGCUCUGGUAAGACCGCAGCGUUUUUGCUUCCGAUGCUUGAGAGGCUGAAGCAGCACCUGCCUCAGGGAGGUGUUAGGGCUCUCAUUUUGUCGCCUACAAGGGAUUUGGCUUUGCAGACCUUGAAGUUCACUAAAGAGCUUGGCAGGUUCACCGAUCUUCGUACUAGUUUAUUAGUCGGUGGUGACAGCAUGGAAAAUCAAUUCGAAGAAUUAGCACAGAAUCCAGAUAUUAUCAUUGCAACUCCUGGUAGGCUUAUGCACCAUUUGUCUGAGGUUGAGGACAUGUCUUUGCGGACAGUGGAAUAUGUGGUUUUUGAUGAAGCUGACAGUCUAUUUGGCAUGGGCUUUGCUGAGCAAUUGCACAAAAUCCUAACCCAGUUAAGUGAGAAUCGGCAGACCUUGCUGUUCAGUGCAACUUUGCCAAGUGCCCUUGCUGAGUUUGCUAAGGCUGGUCUACGAGAUCCUCAGCUUGUUCGACUUGAUCUGGAAACUAAAAUUAGCCCUGAUUUGAAGCUGAAGUUCUUCACCUUACGACAGGAGGAAAAACAUGCAGCAUUGCUAUAUUUGGUAAGGGAACAUAUUAGUUCUGAGCAGCAGACAUUGAUAUUUGUUUCAACGAAACAUCAUGUGGAGUUCCUUAAUAUUUUGUUUCGAGAAGAGGGCAUUGAGCCUUCUGUAUGCUAUGGUGAUAUGGAUCAAGAUGCUCGCAAGAUUCAUAUAUCAAGGUUUAGAGCGCAAAAAACUAUGCUGUUAAUUGUGACAGAUGUAGCUGCAAGGGGCAUUGACAUUCCAUUGCUUGAUAAUGUCAUCAAUUGGGACUUCCCCCCAAAACCAAAAAUUUUUGUCCAUCGAGUGGGGCGAGCUGCAAGGGCAGGUCGGACCGGUACAGCUUUUUCUUUUGUGACAACUGAAGAUAUGCCUUACCUUUUAGAUCUUCAUCUAUUUCUUUCAAAACCAAUCAGGGCUGCACCUUCUGAGGAAGAGGUUUUGCAGGACAUGGAUGGAGUAAUGAAGAAAAUCGAUCAAGCAAUUGCAAAUGGGGAAACUGUUUACGGACGUUUCCCUCAAACAGUUCUUGAUCUUGUUUCAGAUCGAGUUCAAGAAAUUAUUGAUUCAUCAGCAGAACUGACUUCUUUGCAGAAAACCUGCUUGAAUGCUUUUCGCUUGUAUACAAAGACAAAACCUUUACCAGCAAAGGAAUCCAUUAGAAGAGUGAAGGAUUUACCCCGUGAGGGUUUGCAUCCAGAUUUCAAAAAUGUUCUUGGAGGUGGUGAAUUAAUAGCAUUGGCAUUUUCUGAGCGCUUAAAAGCAUUCAGGCCGAAGCAGACUAUACUGGAAGCUGAAGGUGAAGCUGCCAAAUCAAAGAAUCUGCAGGGUCCUUCUAGUCAGUGGGUUGAUGUGAUGAAGAGAAAAAGAGCUAUUCAUGAGGAUAUCAUCAAUAUAGUGCAUCAACAACGCUCAAGCAAGCAGAUGGAAAGGGAAGCUCAAUCUGAAAUUACUUCUUCAAAUGGAAGGGGGAAAAAAGGUUUGCUCCUGUCCUAUGUAUGCUGUAUCCUCUCUUUAAUGUCUUAACUCUCAAGUAUUCAUUUGGUAAUAAAAUAAAAUAUCUUCUCGUAAAUAGAAUAUAUUUUUUUCUCUUUUGAUGCUAAAUGGUAAUGAUUUAUUUUGGAUGUUAGAAGCUCGAGGUUCUAAAAGAAAGGCAAAGAGCUUCAAAGAUGAAGAAUACUAUAUAAGUUCAGUACCCACGAAUCAUGUAUGUUAUAGCACCUGUUAUAUCCUCUACUAUAAUUCAUCUAGUGAUUAUUUUAGUAUAAUACUCUCUAUCUAAGCUGUGAAAUGCAUUUUACAUCCAGGAUGGUUUUGUAAUUUUAGUUUAUGUGGGAGGCACCUCAUUUGGCUCCUUUAUUGAGGGUUAUAUAUUUUACUUAAUAAAGAAGAGGCACUAUAGAUAUUGGAAAUCUUGGCUAACUAAUUUGUCUUGCAUUUUGAUGCUACUCUCAGCAUACAGAGGUAGGCCUUUCAGUGAGAGCUAAUGAAGGCUUUGGAUCAAAUAGGCUGGACACUGCUGUCCUCGAUCUAGUAGCAGAUGAUAGCCAGGGCAUGCAGAAACAAAAAACUGUAUACCAUUGGGAUAAGAGGAGUAAGAAGUACAUCAAAUUGAACAAUGGUGAACGUGUUACAGCUAGUGGAAAGGUACCUUUUUGACCUUCUGUUUUGAUCUCUAUAAUGAGAUCUGUGAUUUUAUUGUAAAUUUAUGGCAUCUAGAAAAAAUCUAUAUUAAAACUUUGUUAAAUUUUGUGGAUAUAAAAAUGCAAUUCUACUAGUAGAAUUUAUUCUCUUUUUUCCUCUUUAAGUUUAUUGUAUCUUUAAGAUUUAUGAUCAGGCAAAAUUCACAUUUUCCCCUGUGAUGGAACUUUUAGAGUUUUGGCACUUAUUAAAUCUUUUAACAUUUGUGUACAUCUUGCCUUACUAGUUCGUACUACCCCAUAAGAUUCUCUGUUGUUGUCUGUACCAUAACUGUGAUCAAACAACUCAUAUGUCGCUUGGCUAGGAAAGAAAAGAUGUGUAUUCUGUUAUGCUUCUCAUGUCCUUAGCAAUGGACUCAAAAUAAAAUUGAUAGUUGUUCAUUUUUCAUUAGUUGUAAAUAAAGGGGAAUUUUAUUUUUUGUUAUUUGGAAAGCCUAUAGAAAAGUAGGGAAAUGGGUAAGAAAUUUACCUUUUUAAGCCCAACACCUUAUCAUUCACUUUCUGAAGGGUGAGAAACGUUUGAUAGUAAUUUACAUUUUUUCUCAACUUUUUAUCUCCCUUUAUUUUCACCACUUUCCAAAUGUUGUAGGAGAAGGGGUAAUCCUCUUCGCCCUUUUUGCCUCAUCCUACUUUUUUCCCAAAUAAAGUUUAAAGGUGUUUAGAUUGCAUCAAUAUAAGUUAUCCCUAGAUUAUGAAAAAGAACUAGACUGAUAACUUGGUUUGAGGCAUGCUACAACUUAUUUCUCUUGUGGCUCCAUAUAUGCACUCUUAGUGCAUAUACAUUAUAUUUAUAUAAUUCUAUCUGUACAAGGUGUUUGUUUAUCUUUCUCUCUGUAUUUGUGCUGGUUGU